rnacentral:rRNA from 1 species
UGGGGAAUAUUGGGCAAUGGGGCGAAAGCCUGACCCAGCAACGCCGCGUGAAGGAAGAAGGUCUUCGGAUUGUAAACUUCUUUUAUGAGGGACGAAGGACGUGACGGUACCUCAUGAAUAAGCCACGGCUAACUACGUGCCAGCAGCCGCGGUAAUACGUAGGUGGCAAGCGUUGUCCGGAUUUACUGGGUGUAAAGGGCGUGUAGCCGGGUCGGCAAGUCAGAUGUGAAAUCUGGAGGCUCAACCUCCAAACUGCAUUUGAAACUGUUGAUCUUGAGUAUCGGAGAGGUAACCGGAAUUCCUUGUGUAGCGGUGAAAUGCGUAGAUAUAAGGAAGAACACCAGUGGCGAAGGCGGGUUACU